rnacentral:RNase_P_RNA from 1 species
GAAGCUGACCAGACAGUCGCCGCUUCGUCGUCGUCCUCUUCGGGGGAGACGGGCGGAGGGGAGGAAAGUCCGGGCUCCAUAGGGCAGGGUGCCAGGUAACGCCUGGGGGGGAAACCCACGACCAGUGCAACAGAGAGCAAACCGCCGAUGGCCCGCGUAAGCGGGAUCAGGUAAGGGUGAAAGGGUGCGGUAAGAGCGCACCGCGCGGCUGGUAACAGUCCGUGGCACGGUAAACUCCACCCGGAGCAAGGCCAAAUAGGGGUUCAUAAGGUACGGCCCGUACUGAACCCGGGUAGGCUGC